AGCGAACGCUGGCGGCAGGCUUAACACAUGCAAGUCGAGCGCCGUAGCAAUACGGAGCGGCAGACGGGUGAGUAACACGUGGGAACGUGCCUUCUGGGUCGGAAUAACUCAGGGGAACUUGAGCUAAUACCGGAUAAGCCCUUCGGGGGAAAGAUUUAUCGCCGGAAGAUCGGCCCGCGUAAGAUUAGCUAGUUGGUGAGGUAAUGGCUCACCAAGGCUACGAUCUUUAGCUGGUCUGAGAGGAUGAUCAGCCACACUGGGACUGAGACACGGCCCAGACUCCUACGGGAGGCAGCAGUGGGGAAUAUUGGACAAUGGGCGCAAGCCUGAUCCAGCCAUGCCGCGUGAGUGAUGAAGGCCUUAGGGUUGUAAAGCUCUUUUAGCAGGGACGAUAAUGACGGUACCUGCAGAAAAAGCCCCGGCCAACUUCGUGCCAGCAGCCGCCGUAA
rnacentral:rRNA from 1 species